rnacentral:rRNA from 1 species
UACGGGGGGGGCAAGCGUUGUUCGGAAUUACUGGGCGUAAAGGGCGCGUAGGCGGUUGGUUAAGUCAGCUGUGAAAACCACGGGCUUAACUCGUGGCCUGCAGUUGGGACUGUCUGGCUUGAGUGUGGGAGAGGAGAGUGGAAUUCCUGGUGUAGCGGUGAAAUGCGUAGAUAUCAGGAGGAACACCGGUGGCGAAGGCGGCUCUCUGGACCACAACUGACGCUGAGGCGCGAAAGCUAGGGGAGCAAACAGG